UUAACGAUGAGCGGAGCACAACUUUUAACUGUUUUUCUCGCUCACUCCGUAUAUUAAGUUGGAAAAUGCGCUUGGAAAAUAAGAGCCCGAAUACAAAAUUAUAAUGAAUGUGAAAGUGGUUGAAAGAAAGUAGAGAUAAACCUGAAGAUUUUUGUUCUAGCUCGAAAUUGCAUGACCUGUGGGCUAUGGUCACUCCAAAAAUCAGUUGACCGGAAGUUCCGCCGAGUGUUUGUGUGUGUGUUAGUGCUCUUGGACAGAUCAAUGGACAAUAUGGAGGUGGCACUGGACUCCAGGAUGCAGUGCAUCGAGAUCCUGACCAGAUAAAAAUGCAUGCUAUGGUCACUCGAAAAACCAGUUGACCGGAAGUUCCAGCGAAUGAUUGUGUGUGUGUUGGGGCUUUUGGACUGAUUACUGGAUAUGUAUGGAUUGUUAUGGAGGUGUUGCAAUGGUAAAUGGAUAUAAAUGGAGAUUUCAUCGUUCAAGACUCCAGAGCAUCGAAAAAUCCUUCAGAAUCCUCUUCCCGUGGACGCUGGCAUUGCAGGUGGCGGUGGCCAAACAGGCAUUCGCACACUCACCUGCCAUCAGGUGGGAUGCAUUGCAUUCUGGACUCUGGGCCCUGGAUUCUGGCGGGGAUUCCCCGCUCACCUGGCUCCUUCCUCCACUCCAUCGAGCGUUCUUUCGGUUCGUUCCGGCUUAUUGCAAUUUGCAGCGCUGAAUGUUUCAUCGAAGGUUCGCACGGCGGUUGGUUUCUCGACACGGAAGAAAAUGU